ACCAAACUUACUCUAUCUUUGUUUACAGGAUGGCACAUACUUGUGUAAUUAAAAGACUGUUUGCAGUCUUCAGAGACGAACUAUUACAGCAUUACACUGAAGACGAUGGAGCUCCGUUUUAGAAACGCACUCUGCUGCAUCCCUCGGUUCAGUGCUGCUUCAGAAUCCGUCCCCAGAAGUUUUUUCAAGGACAAAAUUGGUACUGAUUGGAAAGACCGCAGCGUGAACGUUCUGUGGCACUUUGUGAACUGCCUCACUUAUAUCCUUGACCAUCACAGUUAACAUGCUCUUCUAGUACAGGAUGAAUAGCACCAUGUGAAGCACAGUGAUACAGCUUGGAGGAAUGGGAGAGCAGCAGAAAAGCUUUGAAGUAAAGUACUGGAGGAGCUGCAAAAGUACUUUGAAGACAGAGAGGGAAGAUGUGCUGGGAGGGCCUCUCCUUGACUUCAUGCUUUCUUACACAUGCUUUCUAGCACGUGUCUUCAAUUUUACUCUAACAAAAGAGUCCCCUGGUAGCUCUCAUAGUGAUGUUUGUCAUCUGAAGAUACACGAGCAAUGAAGUGAGCAGGGGAGGAGUACUUGUGCUUCAGUAGCACAGCAGCAAGCAAAAUGGACUCGGUUUACAUAAUAUGAAAGGCUGCAAGCAGCUCCAGGGCAUUUUGCAAUUCCUCGCACAGAAGAGCUGCAGCUAGAAAAAUAGCUCUAAAAACAAAUUAAAAUGACCUUUCCGAAGGUGGUAAGCAAUUUUUAUCCCUUGUUAAUUGGUAAGCGCAUCAUUUGGGUGUCCUUAUUGUAUUAAAUACGUUAUUCAGUACUCCAACUGGGGCAAGUCUGCAAACACUAUUUGCAGACAAACAGAGAUUGAGGAUUAGCGUGUAUUAAUUAAUGCUUUAAUAAAAGGGCUUAAAUAGGUGAUUUCUUUAAAACUUUCCAAACCUGCUUGGCUGUGCUACUAUCUCACAUCCAGUCCCCAAAACUGUAAUGGGCCCUGCAAAGUGCUUAUUUCUUUUGAUAUGAGACCACUGAGCUGCCUUCUAUGGAGAGUUUCCAGGUGAGAUACACUUUUUUGAAAGAUUAACUU